rnacentral:rRNA from 1 species
UACGGAGGAUGCAAGCGUUAUCCGGAUUUAUUGGGUUUAAAGGGUCCGCAGGCGGGCUAUUAAGUCAGUGGUGAAAGCCUGCAGCUUAACUGUAGAAUUGCCAUUGAAACUGAUAGUCUUGAGUGUGGUUGAAGUGGGCGGAAUAUGACAUGUAGCGGUGAAAUGCAUAGAGAUGUCAUAGAACACCGAUUGCGAAGGCA